AAUGAUCUACACAGAGCCAUUCAGCGUACACAGUCUGCAAUGUUUAAUCAAGUUUUGAUUUUAAUAUCUACAUUACUAUGCCUUAUCUUCACCUGCAUUUGUGGGAUCCAACAUCUGGAACGAAUAGGAAAGAAGCUGAAUCUCUUUGACUCCCUUUAUUUCUGCAUUGUGACGUUUUCUACUGUGGGCUUCGGGGAUGUCACUCCUGAAACAUGGUCCUCCAAGCUUUUUGUAGUUGCUAUGAUUUGUGUUGCUCUUGUGGUUCUACCCAUACAGUUUGAACAGCUGGCUUAUUUGUGGAUGGAGAGACAAAAGUCAGGAGGAAACUAUAGUCGACAUAGAGCUCAAACUGAAAAGCAUGUCGUCCUGUGUGUCAGCUCACUGAAGAUUGAUUUACUUAUGGAUUUUUUAAAUGAAUUCUAUGCUCAUCCUAGGCUCCAGGAUUAUUAUGUGGUGAUUUUGUGUCCUACUGAAAUGGAUGUACAGGUUCGAAGGGUACUGCAGAUUCCAAUGUGGUCCCAACGAGUUAUCUACCUUCAAGGUUCAGCCCUUAAAGAUCAAGACCUAUUGAGAGCAAAGAUGGAUGACGCUGAGGCCUGUUUUAUUCUCAGUAGCCGUUGUGAAGUGGAUAGGACAUCAUCUGAUCACCAAACAAUUUUGAGAGCAUGGGCUGUGAAAGAUUUUGCUCCAAAUUGUCCUUUGUAUGUCCAGAUAUUAAAGCCUGAAAAUAAAUUUCACAUCAAAUUUGCUGAUCAUGUUGUUUGUGAAGAAGAGUUUAAAUACGCCAUGUUAGCUUUAAACUGUAUAUGCCCAGCAACAUCUACACUUAUUACACUACUGGUUCAUACCUCUAGAGGGCAAGAAGGCCAGCAAUCGCCAGAACAAUGGCAGAAGAUGUACGGUAGAUGCUCCGGGAAUGAAGUCUACCACAUUGUUUUGGAAGAAAGUACAUUUUUUGCUGAAUAUGAAGGAAAGAGUUUUACAUAUGCCUCUUUCCAUGCACACAAAAAGUUUGGCGUCUGCUUGAUUGGUGUUAGGAGGGAGGAUAAUAAAAACAUUUUGCUGAAUCCAGGUCCUCGAUACAUUAUGAAUUCUACAGACAUAUGCUUUUAUAUUAAUAUUACCAAAGAAGAGAAUUCAGCAUUUAAAAACCAAGACCAGCAGAGAAAAAGCAAUGUGUCCAGGUCGUUUUAUCAUGGACCUUCCAGAUUACCUGUACAUAGCAUAAUUGCCAGCAUGGGUACUGUGGCUAUAGACUUGCAAGAUACAAGCUGUAGAUCAGCAAGUGGCCCUACCCUGUCUCUUCCUACAGAGGGAAGCAAAGAAAUAAGAAGACCUAGCAUUGCUCCUGUUUUAGAGGUUGCAGAUACAUCAUCGAUUCAAACAUGUGAUCUUCUAAGUGACCAAUCAGAAGAUGAAACUACACCAGAUGAAGAAAUGUCUUCAAACUUAGAGUAUGCUAAAGGUUACCCACCUUAUUCUCCAUAUAUAGGAAGUUCACCCACUUUUUGUCAUCUCCUUCAUGAAAAAGUACCAUUUUGCUGCUUAAGAUUAGACAAGUUUUAGCCAUAAAAUCUCUGCCACAGACCAUUGUUCCUGAUUCAAGCGAAAUAUUUUUUCUGGACUACUCCUGGGGAUCUUGGACUCAAGGCUUUGCCUAGAUGACUUACUCAGGUGUGGAGUGACUUUUGCUGCUAAUAUGGUGGUUGUGGAUAAAGAGAGCACCAUGAGUGCCGAGGAAGACUACAUGGCAGAUGCCAAAACCAUUGUGAACGUGCAGACACUCUUCAGGUUGUUUUCCAGUCUCAGUAUUAUCACAGAGCUAACUCACCCCGCCAACAUGAGAUUCAUGCAAUUCAGAGCCAAAGACUGUUACUCUCUUGCUCUUUCAAAACUGGAAAAGAAAGAACGGGAGAGAGGCUCUAACUUGGCCUUUAUGUUUCGACUGCCUUUUGCUGCUGGGAGGGUGUUUAGCAUCAGUAUGUUGGACACUCUGCUGUAUCAGUCAUUUGUGAAGGAUUAUAUGAUUUCUAUCACGAGACUUCUGUUGGGACUGGACACUACACCAGGAUCUGGGUUUCUUUGUUCUAUGAAAAUCACUGCAGAUGACUUAUGGAUCAGAACUUAUGCCAGACUUUAUCAGAAGUUGUGUUCUUCUACUGGAGAUGUUCCCAUUGGAAUCUACAGGACUGAGUCUCAGAAACUUACUACAUCUGAGUCUCAAAUAUCUAUCAGUGUAGAAGAGUGGGAAGACACCAAAGACUCCAAAGAACAAGGGCACCACCGCAGCAACCACCGCAACUCAACAUCCAGUGAUCAGUCGGACCAUCCCUUGCUGCGGAGAAAAAGCAUGCAGUGGGCCCGAAGACUGAGCAGAAAAGGCCCAAAACACUCUGGUAAAACAGCUGAAAAAAUAACCCAGCAGCGACUGAACCUCUACAGGAGGUCAGAAAGACAAGAGCUUGCUGAACUUGUGAAAAAUAGAAUGAAACACUUGGGUCUUUCUACAGUGGGAUAUGAUGAAAUGAAUGAUCAUCAAAGUACCCUCUCCUACAUCCUGAUUAACCCAUCUCCAGAUACCAGAAUAGAGCUGAAUGAUGUUGUAUACUUAAUUCGACCAGAUCCACUGGCCUACCUUCCAAACAGUGAGCCCAGUCGAAGAAACAGCAUCUGCAAUGUCACUGGUCAAGAUUCUCGGGAGGAAACUCAACUUUGAUAAAAAUAAAAUGAGAAACUUUUUUCCUACAAAGACCUUGCUUGAAACCACAAAAGUUUUGCUGGCACGAAAGAAACUAGAUGGAAAUAUAUGUAAUUCUCUCAUAUUUAAAAACGUAAUCUCUUCUCUUAGAAGUAUAGAUCAUUUUGAAACUUAAUGUACUACUUACUGGUACUCUCCCUAUUAAUAUUUGAAGGACCUCAAUGGAAUAAAUUUGAAAAGCUAAAUUAAAAUACAAAAAUUUAAAUCUGACAUUUAAUUGUUUUAUAAUAAUCCAAACUCUAUGAAAGCAAUUUUAAAAAUUAUUAAGGUUUUAUGAAGUUGACAAAAUCUAACUAUAUUUGGUGCAUCACAAUGGACACAGAAUGCUGCUGCUCCUCUUAAAAAUUAAAUGUGUCAUAUUAUAUUCUUUAAACUUACUGUUUUACAAAAUUGAGCUCAUCGUAAAUGUCUAGUCUUCUCACAUAGAGAUUAACCAACAAACUUGUGUGGCUGACUUUUGUGUAAGAAUCAUAGUUUGCUUUAGAAUACAAAUCUUUAAGUCAUUUUAACUUUUUUUUCUGCCUUACGAUAUAAAAAUAUUUAUCUUAGAAUUUGAGAUGUUCAUAGCAUGUUUUAUUACAUUGAAGAAACUAAAACAUAAAUGAAAAGAAACACUAGGUUCCUGCACUUUUUGGUAACUUUAUGUCUAGCAAAUAUUUUAUGCCAAGAAAAGCAUACUAUAAAGCAAAUAUCUAUUAUUCUCCUAAACGAAUGCCUAGCAUAGAGAAAAUACUUAAUACACAUUUGUUGACUUAAAUUUAAUUCAAGGAUUGAAAAAUUAACUGGAUAUCUUGAAAUAUACAGUAAUGAUUGUCCUUAGACUCUUGAACUUUACCAUCUUUCCUAUUCAUAUAUCUAUAUAGUAAAUUUCACUAGAAAAAUUCUUUUAAAAUUGACAGAAGAUAAUUUAUACCUUUUAUGGACUCUGAAGACACUUCAAAACAUUAAAAGUCCUUAUGUCUUUGGUAAUGAAACAAUAACACUCAAUGAAGGAUGUAUUAAAAUUUUUGACUUAAUUUUGAAAUCGUAUAUAUGAGCUAUACUUUAACAUUAUGAGAGAAAAGCAUAAAACAAAAAUAGGUAGUUCUUGGCUUUUAACAUUAAUGCAAAUCAUGCAGAAUUUGAGUUAUAAAUUUAAAUAUAAAUUGACCAUUGAUGAUAUCCAGUUUUUCAUUUUUUACCUGUAUUGCAUUUUCCCCCUAGAGAAAUAGAUCAAAAGAGCACAAGAGUAUGCGUACAUAGUUUACCAGGUAGUAGAAGUGUGUUAAAAUGUUCCUGUAAAAGAAACAUUGGUAAAUUUAAAUACAUACUGUUCUAAUUUUGUAUUUUUUAAUUUUUGAAUUUGACAUUGAGUUUAAUUCAGCAACAACAAAAAAUACAUAUAAAACUAGAAAGGGACUUUUUUUCCUUUCUUUUCAUAAUGAAGCAGAUCAACUUAAAGGAUAAUAAAAUUUUUAAAGAAAAGAUAUUCUAAUGUACUCUCAAUAAUUCUACAGAAAUAAAACUGUAAAGUGCAAUGUGAAAUCAAAGAUUAUAGUCAUUGUAUAAUUUGGCUUGGAGGCUAUGAAAUGUCUUUUUUUCUUUUUGGUAUUUUACAUUAUUCACAUUUUAGAAUAACAAGAACACCAAGAAUUACCCCUAAAACAGAGACCCUGUAUUUAAUCUACUUUGAUCAGAGAAGUAGAAUUUAUAACAGGUUAGCUAAAAUUGGGAGCAUGCCUUAAAACUUAAAGAUUGUAUGCAUAUAUGUGUAUAUGUUAUAAACGUGAAAUAUAUUUGACACACACAUUCACAUAUAAAUUGUUAAAAACUGAAGGCAGAAUGGAACUAAUAUAUGUAACAGAGAAAAACAAUAAAUUUUAUGAACUUGUUUUAUAUUUGCAUAUCAAGAGUCAAGUAUGAUGUUUCUUUAAGUUGACUUUUUUUACUUCAUUAUUUUUAGGAAUAAAUGUAAGAUUUUACAAAUCUUUUAUUUCCCCACAAGAUCUGAAGUUUGGUAUUUUUGCAUUAUGACAGUUGUUGAGACUAGGAUUUUAAGCUAGGAUAUGAUUAUAUUUCCUAUAUAACUAAAAAUUUUGUUUCAUAAAUUUUAAAAUAAUUAUUUUUGACUAUGAACAUUAGUCCAAAUUUAAUAUUUGACACAGUUCAUACCAGCUUGCUACAAUAAUGAUAAUUUAUUAGUCUUUCUGUUAUUUAAAGAAUAAAAACAUGCUUAUAAAAGACUUUUAAUGAAAUGUUGCCUUUUUAAAAUAAUUAUACUUGCACAUGAAAAUAAAAUAUAAAGUCAAUAAUAGUCCUUGUAGCCCAAUGGGAAUUGAUUCUGUUUAUUGUCUGUACCAUUUUGCUACCAGUUACAUUGAACUGCUUUAAAAUAAAUAAUAAAAUUAUUUCUAAUGAUG
rnacentral:misc_RNA from 1 species